rnacentral:rRNA from 1 species
CAGCCGUAAACUAUGCUCGCUAGGUGUCAGGCAUGGCGCGACCGUGUCUGGUGCCGCAGGGAAGCCGUGAAGCGAGCCACCUGGGAAGUACGGCCGCAAGGCUGAAACUUAAAGGAAUUGGGCGGGGGAGCACAACAACGGGUGGAGCCUGCGGUUUAAUUGGACUCAACGCCGGGAAGCUCACCGGGAACGACAGCAAAUAUGUAGGCCAGGCUGAAGACCUUGCCUGAAUCGCUGAGAGGUGGUGCAUGGCGUAGACGUCU